GAUAAAGGGAUAUUAAAAGGACUGAAGGUAGCUCAAGAUAAUUUUGGAUACAAGAAUACAACAUUCCAACUCUCCUCAGUAAAUUCUAAUCAAUUCAUCAGUGUCAAGAAUCUUCAAUACAGUCUCAUCUUUGAAGAUCUCAUAGCCUCUCCCCGAUCAAGAUUCACGAGCAAAUCAAAGACACAUUCAGUGUCAAACCUCCACCCCAAGAAACAGAAGAGAAGAAGAUCUGAGCCCACAUCCUGUGUUUAAACAAAGUUCCCACAGUAAUUCAUGAUGUAAUCCUAAAGUAACAACACGUUGGCUAUGGGCUCCAAGAAGAUGAUCCUCUGUGCUUGGCUCUGCUGGUUCCCUGUCCUCAAAGUCAUUCCAAAGCUAGCUGCUGAUUUGGUGUAUGGAUCAAGAUAGAGAAGAAUCUAUCUAAGAAAGAAGUAAGUCUAAAAUUUAACAAUAAUUCUUGACUUUAAUCAUUCCAUUCUAUUUCCCUUAGUUGCUAUCUUCUAUUGCUCAUGAUGUCAGUACCAUAUGGCAAGCUCAUAUUGUUCUUUAAAGUUGAGAAGCUUUUAUUUUUAUUUGUAACCUAUAGUAAUUAUUUCUCACAAAGCAUGUAUUAGUAACCAAGGACAAGAUUGUACAGUUGCUGAAGUACUGUAAAUAGGAAACACGUGUUGAUGACACUAGCCAUCAACAUCAUUUCAGAAUCUUUGUUGCUUUUCUAUAAAAUAAGCAUUAUAAUGUGUAUGAUACCUAUGUCAUAAUGUGAAGAUGAAAUAAAUUAUAAUUGUUAGUACAGCCUGUAAAACAAUGUCUGGCAUAUAGCUUGUUGUUGAAUGAAUGCUCUAUAGCUCUCCAAGAAUCUUUAGAAUGCAAUUCUAAAUUCUUCUUUAGUUUUAUUCUGCAAUCACUCAAUUCUUAAAGGAAAGACUGGAAUUUGAAUCUUUUUAGACUACAAGACUAUUCUUGCUUUUUCCAUCUGUAUCAGGGCAGUGAAGAAAUACUAAUCCCAUGAACCAGGGUGCAACAAGUAGAGGCUCAGUCCACCAAAGUUAUACUGGUGCAGGAAUGUGAUGACUGAGUUAGUAAAAGUCUGAUGGCUCCUAGGAGUGGAGAUCAUGGCUCUGAACUGAGGGAGAUGAAAGACUGUCGGAUAAGGCCGUAGUAA